GCCGGCUUAGUGAAGUGGUUAACACGUUAGUUUCCGGUUCUCUUGUGAACCAGACCAGCUAAAGAGCACGGGUUCGAAUCCCGUAGUCGGUU